rnacentral:rRNA from 1 species
AAUCUUCCGCAAUGGACGAAAGUCUGACGCAGCAACGCCGCCUGAGUGAUGAAGGUUUUCGGAUCGUAAAACUCCUUUGCCAGGGAAGAACAAGUAUCGUAGUAACUGCCUGUACCUGGACUGUCCCCGACCAGAAAGCCACGGCUAUCUACGGGCCAGCAGCCGCGGUAAUACGUAGGUGGCAAGCGUUGUCCGGAAUUAUUGGGCGUAAAGCGCGCGCAGGCGGUAUUGUAAGUCUGAUGUGAAAGCCCCCGGCUCAACCGGGGGCGGUCAUUGGAAACUGGGAGACUUGAGUGCAGGAGAGAAGAGUGGAAUUCCACGUGUAGCGGUGAAAUGCGUAGAGAUGUGGAGGAACACCAGUGGCGAAGGCGACUCUUUGGUCUGCAACUGACGCUGAGGCGCGAAAGCGUGGGGAGCGAACA